UACGUAGGGUGCGAGCGUUGUCCGGAAUUAUUGGGCGUAAAGGGCUCGUAGGCGGUUUGUCGCGUCGGGAGUGAAAACACCGGGCUUAACUCGGUGCUGGCUUUCGAUACGGGCAGACUAGAGGUAUUCAGGGGAGAACGGAAUUCCUGGUGUAGCGGUGAAAUGCGCAGAUAUCAGGAGGAACACCGGUGGCGAAGGCGGUUCUCUGGGCAUUACCUGACGCUGAGGAGCGAAAGUGUGGGGAGCGAACAGG
rnacentral:rRNA from 1 species